AAGAAGUGCGUCAUCGCCCAUGACGAUCUUGAUGAUCUUGGGCAUGGUGAUUAUAAAAAUUUGAGAAAGAAGGACCAUGCGUGGAAGGAAGUUGGAGUCUGUAUAAAAUUGAGUGGUAAAUAAAUUAUAUAAAAUUCUUACUUAUAAUUCAUUAAUAGAACUGGAGUGCAAGAAAAGAUGGAAGAGCCUUCGUGACUGUUAUAAAAGAUACAGACGAAUGGAGCAGGUCCCUUCUGGAAGUGGUGCCGAAGCGAAUAGAGAAAAGUGGAAAUUCUUGGAUGUGAUGUCUUUUUUGGAGAGUGAACUAUAAGCAAUGUCAACUAUGAAGUCGAAUAUCUCGAGGAUAGUGACAUUGUUAUAAUUGACGACUCCAAGGAUAACUCAGUACCAGAAAUAAGAAAUAAAAAGGACUGCGCAAAAUUUUAACAAUUUCUCGACAUGGCAGGAAGAAGCAUUAGCGAAACUUGUGCUACCUUUGUUGAAAAUAAUAGGAAGCACAACUCCACCUCCCUGCAAUUUUCGUCAUUGGCAGCAAAAAUCCUUCAAUCUGGUCUUCCGCCAAACGUGAUAAAUGAAAUUGAAGACAAGGUAUCAAAUUUAGUGUUUAGUGAAAUUAAAAAAAAUUAUUCCACUAACAUACUAUAAGUUUUUGAGGUUUCGUUUUUUAAAUGUAAAUAGCUUUCGCAGUUUUUAAGUAAAUCAUUAUAGACUGAAGAACCUUUUUUACAAAAUGUACAUAUGUAAAUAGCUUUUAUAGUUUUUAAGUAAAUCUGUGAAACUGAAGUACAUUGUUUUACAAAAUGUACAUAUCGCUCAUUUACUUGAAGAGUGUCACAACUCAAAUGCAACAUAACAAAUUUAAUAACGGCACAUUCUUAUUUCACGAUUUAUUUUUCUACGCAUCGGAAUGAAAUUUUUAUACAAUAUGGACGCUGAAAUUGCUCACAUUUCUGCAUACUCAACUCAAAAAUCGUGUUUUUUUAGUUAUGACACUAUUCAAGUAAA